GGUCAUGGGAAUCACGAAAAAAUUGAAAUAAGUUUUGUACUUACCAUUAAAGAAAAACUAUUGAUUUUUCAAUGUUUAAUAACUUUUUUCUCCCAUAGAUUUUAAAUCAAACACAUAUUUAUAUAUACAGAAAGGUUACAAUAUUAUUUUUGAUUUAAAACUAUUUUGGUUUAUGUCCGCAACUUUUCGCAAAGGUGGUGAUGUUUGGGAAA